AAUAGAUACCCUGGUAGUCCACGCUGUAAACGGUGGGUACUAGGUGUGGGGUCCAUUCCACGGGUUCCGCGCCGUAGCUAACGCUUUAAGUACCCCGCCUGGGGAGUACGGCCGCAAGGCUAAAACUCAAAGGAAUUGACGGGGCCCCGCACAAGCGGCGGAGCAUGCGGAUUAAUUCGAUGCAACGCGUAGAACCUUACCUGGGUUUGACAUGGAUCGGGAGUGCUCAGAGAUGGGUGUGCCUCUUUUGGGGUCGGUUCACAGGUGGUGCAUGGCUGUCGUCAGCUCGUGUCGUGAGAUGUUGGGUUAAGUCCCGCAACGAGCGCAACCCUUGUUCACUGUUGCCAGCACGUUAUGGUGGGGACUCAGUGGAGACCGCCGGGGUCAACUCGGAGGAAGGUGGGGAUGACGUCAAGUCAUCAUGCCCCUUAUGUCCAGGGCUUCACGCAUGCUACAAUGGCUGGUACAGAGAGUGGCGAGCCUGUGAGGGUGAGCGAAUCUCGGAAAGCCGGUCUCAGUUCGGAUUGGGGUCUGCUAACG
rnacentral:rRNA from 1 species